UACUGUCAUCCUGAGCGGAGCGAAGGACCUUGUACCACCCACCGUGCUGUGGUACAAGGUCCUUCGCUCCGCUCAGGAUGACAGUA
rnacentral:pre_miRNA from 20 species